rnacentral:rRNA from 1 species
UACGUAGGGUGCGAGCGUUGUCCGGAAUUAUUGGGCGUAAAGAGCUCGUAGGCGGUGUGUCACGUCGGCCGUGAAAACCUGCAGCUUAACUGUGGGCGUGCGGUCGAUACGGGCAUCACUGGAGUUCGGCAGGGGAGACUGGAAUUCCGGGUGUAGCGGUGGAAUGCGUAGAGAUCCGGAGGAAGACCGGUGGCGAAGGCGGCCUGCUGGGCAGUUACUGACACUGAGGCGCGACAGCGUGGGGAGCAAACAGG